rnacentral:lncRNA from 1 species
GUAAAAAUGUGACACAUUUGAGUAUUGAGCAAACAACUCCUGAUUUUUGACAAGCAAAAUACAAACUUUGAGAAUUUGGGUUCUCGAAGUCAAAAUCGUACCUUUAUCGAUACCAUCUUUAUCUUGAAACUAUCAUGAGCCUCCAAAUCCUAUGAAUUCUUCAGGAACAACCGAAAAAACACAUCAAAAGAAAUUUAAUUACAGUUAUGUAAUUAAAGAAGUCUUACAAAAAUAUAAUCUUCAAAAAACAAGAAAUUGAAAGGCAAAAAAGGAAAAGGAAGAAGAGGCUCAAAUUCACCACUUCCAGAAGUUCCUCGCCUAUUGCUAGAGAAGCUGACACGCAAAGAAGAGAAGAAGAGUAAUUUCACAACUUGCCCAUCAUCUCAUUAAUAUACAUGCACACAAAAAAGAGGAGAAGAUCCCCGCGCCUCUUCUCCGAUGGUGAUGACCUCUCCAACUUACAAUGAAUGCAGCUCAGGUGCCAGCAAUGUAGCAGACCUUCCACAUAUGUCUCGCCUAUUGCUAGAGAAGAUGGCAUGCAAAGAAGAGAAGAACAAUUUUUAGAAGUCACCCUUGUUGCAUGAAUAUUCAUACAAAAAUAAAUCCGUACACAAAAAAGCGAAGAAGAAAAGGAGAAGGAACAAUGCUUGAAAGGUAACUGAGAAAUCACUAUAGAUGCUCACCUCCUCUCUCAAGUAGAAAGCUAGGAGAAAGGAGA